GAUUGGUGUUCCUGUUUCUGUGGAAAAAUUGAUUUUUCUAGGGGUUAUUUUGAGCUGAGGUCCAACCUUAUGAGAUAUGAGAUACCAGACAUCCAAUUUAUGUUAUUUCUUUAAUAAUCGUCUGCCAUGGCAUGUAUAUCCUGAUGAUUGUAGUUUCUUAGUUGGAAUGAUUUGCUUGCUUUAUAUGGAAAUUUCCAUACAAGCACUUUGUCUUGCUGAAUUGCAGUUUGUCUUGCUGCUUUAUACUUCAGCACCCAUGUAACUUGAUGAUCAUUAGAUUUUGACUUGCGUUUAUGUAAAAUUCCCAACAACAUAUAUCAGAUGAUUGAUUGUUUUUCCAUUUAACUUGUGAUUGUAUUGAUGGAGGUGGCAGUUCUCCUUGUUUGGAUCAUUGGCUAAUGUGGGAGCAAUGGUUGGUGCAAUUGCUAGUGGUCAGAUUUCUAAAUACAUUGGGCGCAAAGGGUCACUGAUGAUUGCUUCAAUCCCAAAUAUCAUUGGAUGGUUGGUCGUAUCAUUUUCGAGAGAUACCUCAUUUCUGUACAUGGGGCGAUUGGUUGGUUGGUUUUGGUGGUUUAGUUAUGCUGUUCAUUGAAAUCAUCAAUAAGUAUCUCUAUUUUUUUGAGAAGGGAAACAACCAAAUCACCGUCAAUACAAUCCAGGAUCUAAUGGAAUUAAUUACUACAGAGAUGCAAAGUGAUAAUGCGGCAACAGAUUCUGCUGCUGAAGCUUUCUUUGCAAGCACAUUGCGGUACAUCCAAUUCCAGAAACAAAAAGGUGGCGCAGUUAGUGAGAAAUAUGAACCUAAUGAGAACUGAAAAGUUAAAACUUGAGAAAGGGAAACAAACUCGGUAACAAUUGCUCUUCAAUCCGCUAAACUUGUGAGAAUUGUCGCCUUUGAUCUUGCUCUUGGGACUCUUGAAUGGUUCCCUCAUUUGUCUUUGAAUACGCUGACGCUGACGCUGCGUGCUACGUGUGUCAUGGGAAGUUGCUUAUCCAAGCAUGAUCUCAACUCUCAAAUUGAUUUGGUAAUUGAAAUUUUGAAGCGUCCAGGAGAAGUCCUCCCUGUUUGUCUUAGUGUCGCACGAACGCUGUAAAUUCAUAAUUUAGUGUGCUUCAAUUUUAAUUUCUCGGCUUUUUUUUUCUCGGUUCAAAUUUUUAUUUUUAUUUCAUAUUGUAAUUUGUUUGAUUUUGGUCUGACAAUGGAGUUUUUUUCAUCUGCUUGAAUGAUA